rfam:Felis catus isolate Cinnamon breed Abyssinian chromosome D4, whole genome shotgun sequence.
GCCUGGGUGGCUCAGUCGGUUGAGCGUCCGACUUCAGCUCAGGUCAUGAUCUCACGGUUCGUGAGUUCGAGCCCCACGUCAGGCU